rnacentral:rRNA from 1 species
UACGGAGGGUGCGAGCGUUGUCCGGAAUCACUGGGCGUAAAGGGCGCGUAGGCGGCGCGGGGAGUCAACGGUGAAAGCUCGGCGCUCAACGCCGAGUCGGCCGUCGAUACUCCCCGUGCUCGAGCACUGUAGAGGCAGGUGGAAUUCCGGGUGUAGCGGUGGAAUGGCGUAGAGAUCCGGAAGAACACCGGUGGCGAAGGCG